UGGACGUAUAUUUUUAAAGUUAUAGCACAUGUAUAAAAAAUUUAUUUUUCCUGCUUGUGAUAAUUAUGUUAACCAUUGUGUACCAUAAUUAUAUCACAGGCAGAGGGGAGGAUUUUGUGUAUAAUUGCUGGGACUGUUUUCUGUAAUGUAUGUGUAUUAUUGGUUGUUCUGUAAAACCCUGUGGGCAGUACUAAGUUUGUGGAUUGGGAAUAAAAGAAGC